GCCGUGUCCAGGCCCAGCAGGAUUGUGAAGCCCAGUGGUGAGAAGCCCCCUGAGUUUGAGUUGGGCAUCUCCCAGGCCCUCCUGGAGCUGGAGAUGAACUUGGACCUCAGGGCCCAGCUGCAGAAGCUGAACAUCAUGGCCACCAAGGAAAUUGAAGUUGGUGGUGGUCAGAAAGGUAUCAUAAUCUUUGUUCCCGUUCCUCAACUGAAAUUUCUCCAGAAAAUUCAGGUCCUGUGGUAUGUGAGCUGGAGAAGUUCAGUGGGAAGCGCGUUGUCUUUAUUGCUCAGACGAGAAUUCUGCCUAAGCAAACUCGAAAAAGCUGUACAAAAAACAAGCAAAAACUUCCCAGGAGCUGCACACUGGUAGCUUUGCAUGACACCAUCCUGGAGGACUUGGUUUUCCCAAGUGAGAUUGUGGGCAGGAAAAUCCACAUGAAGCCAGAUGGCAGGCAGCUCGUAAAGCACAGCAGAACAGUGUGGAACCCAAGGUUUAACGUUUUCUGGUGUCUAUAAGAAGCUCCUGGGCAAGGAUAUAAAUUUUGAAUUGCCAGAGCUUCAAUUGUAA
rnacentral:lncRNA from 1 species